rnacentral:lncRNA from 10 species
GCGCCUCCUCCUCCGCACAGCUCCGGUUGCGGGGAGGCCCGGGUGGGUACCCGGCGCUCCGGCUCCCAGUCUCCUGGGCUUCUCCAGUCCUUCAGCGCCGUUCUCCGGUCACAGGGAAUGAAAGCGAGGAAGAAGGAAACGGUGUCGAGAAUUGCGAAGAGAGAAAGCAUAGAAAACCCACAUUAGAGGCACUCCCAGAGCAGAAACCCUUCGGAGCAUCCCGACUUCCUCGGCCCGCGUGCAAUCCAGGCAAAAUUGAGGUUGUCUCUGAGCCGCCCUCCCUAAGCAGGUCGGAAAGCCCCCGAAUCAUCCCAGGUCCCGCCGCGCUGCACUCGCAACCUGGGGUGGAGGUCCCUCUAGUGGUUGGCACCAAACAAAAGUUCUGUCUUAUGAAGAGCCGAGGUCAGGAAGCAUUUCCCUGUGCCCAGCGCCAAGGUCUGGGACCUUAGGUCCAAGAAAAGCGUUGGCAAUGUCUGACCACAGGAAUGGGUUCUCGAACUGGGGAGGACUGAAGCUGGAGAUCUGGUCCAGCCCCUACCUCCAGCGUGUGGCCUGAACCCGUUUUGGUUGUACUGCUAUGUUGUGGCCCUGCCCAGGCCUCCAAGGACUGGCUGCUGUUAAGCUGUUUAAAAUCCCUGUAGGCCUCAGAUGGCAGCGACACCAGGGACUCGGCAUAGUCCCCAGCUCUGGCAGGAGUCACCACAGCCCUAGCCUUUAGUUCUCUACAGGCUGGAGUGUCGACAAACUCCACAGGACACAACUUUUUCAAACCAAAUUUACCCUCGCGGUCUGAAAUGACCAGUAGGCCCAGGAGAAUUUUACAUGUGAACAGAACCUAACCCACCCUGGCAAAUAUGAGACGUGUGGUCACUGCGGGAACCUGGCCAGCAGCAGACCAAAGCACAGCCAGCAGGGGAAGGCUGGGGCCCGCAAGAGUUGUGUUACAACAGGACACCCUUCAGUUCUCUUUCACUUCCUUAAAAUAGCAGCAGAGCGACUUUUGUAGACGCAGGCUGCCACAGUUCACACAAGGUCAUGGCUGUUUCCGAAUCCCACCCUUUAUUGCCCUAGCGGAGCCACUCCCCUUACCUCCGCCCCCAGAAACUGCUAGCCUGUUCUUAAAUUGAUACAGUUACCUUUUUAAAUGUUCUAAGUCACCGGCUCUGGAGCUUCUUUGCACUUUGGAACCAACUUGCGGGAAGGAACUUUAAAAAUACUGAUAUCUCGAUCCAUCCCCAGAGGUUCUGAUUUAAUGGUCUUGGGGAUAUGGCCACGGCAUGAGGACUGUUAAAACUCCGCAGGUGAUUCUUAUGUGCAACAAAGUUUAAGAACCACUGAUGUAGGCCAUGUCGAUGUCAGUCUUCACUUAAAUCCAACAAGACCCCAGAGCUAAAACGUUCACCUGAAAGAAACCCCAUUCCCAGGCCUGCAUACUGACCUGCGCUGGCUCACAAGAAGCAAAGUGGUCCCUUAACAGGGGCUUCCUGGAGAAAAUGUCUUGACCUAAAAGAGUGAUUCGAGCUGCAGGGAUUUAAGCCCACUGAAGGUCAACUGGAGUCAGAGGACAAGAAACAGGAUGAAGGAAAGAAGACUGGACAGGAGGAAGAGAGAUGCAUAGUGAGAUGGGUUCCAGAGGUUCGGAGAAUUCUUACAAUACAGCAAAUGAUGCCAUACAGUGAAGCACCUUGAAAGAUUGCUGGGAUAAGCUGACAGCAUGGCAGCCAAAAUAGUGACCCCAGGCUUGCAGGAAUUCUGUGCUUUCUGGAGGAAAUGGUCAUGGGUUUCCCAACCUGCCUUUUAAACUAAGGACCGAGCUGAAGAAGCCCCCGUCUUCCAGCGCAUGUUAUUCCCAUGACAGAUGCUAAAAGUUCAAGGGGAGAGCUACAAGAAGUGCGUUUUCCUGUGGCUACUUUCAUGUCUGGAUGCAAUGCCUAGACCUGCAUCCAUCUUGCGACCAACCUGAAGAUGAACAGAAAGGAAGGAAGGAUGGCCCAAUAGCCUGGGAAGAACUGGUGUUCCUGAUACCAUCAUUAACCACAGAAUCUACAAUCCCGGAACCCCCCAUCCUUAACCAUGGAAUCUACAAUCCUAUCUCUAGACCCUUUGUCCAGAUGCUACAGUUUCUUUGUUCAAUCUAGUUUGUGUCAGGAUUUCUGUUCAUUACAUCAAAAGUAUUCUAAUACUUGUAGCAAAGCAACUGGAGAAGUUUUCACUUUGUCUUUAACCAAAGAAGACUUCCAGGAAACAUCUCCUCAGUGGGUUUCUCCCUCACCACUGGAUUUUUAUCUCUGUACUAGUGCUUUGAUUUGUUUUAGGAGUCUCACCUCUCCACCUGUCAUAUUUCCCUGGCAGGCUCAUUUCUGCUAAUGCCCACAAUAUGUGUAUCAAUGAGCUUUCAACGUUAGGUACACAGCUCUUCAGGCAUGUAUAGCACAUUAAUCUGUCUGCUUCUAAGUGGUCUGUUGACAUGUUUGGGUGCCAGUUAUAUCUACAAGGCUGUGAUCAUUGUCCUGGGUUAUUCUGUUUGUUCUCUCUGCAGGAUGCAUUAGGACACCCAAGGCCAUGGCCAUCACUUACAUCUAGGAUUCAAUCUUAUCUCCUGUGAAUCACUGGAAACCUCCUGUCCUGGAACCCUUUUUUUCCACAUCCCACUGGAUGUCAUUCAUAGCAACUGGUCUUGUGGGUUGUCUAUUUUAUUGUGUUGUCUUACUCUUCCUCCUGGUAUCAGUUUUUAAAUCCUCUUGAUGAGAUCAGCUGAUCAGUCGCUAAGCAACAUAGUCCCCCAUGUCUUUGUAAGAUUCUCUGCACUCAUGGCUAGAAUGAUUUAUUCUGGUAUCUUAAGCUGUGUUUCAGAACCUCAUUCUAAAUAUCAACCUAUUCUUGUAAGUCCACUACUGAUCAUCUUUAGAUAUUCUUCAGUCUUCCAGAGUUCCAAAGGGCAGUAGGAAGAAGCAAUGAAAAUACCACCUGUAUUCUCACAUCUUUCAUUGUUCCACUCAAAAAAUACCACCAUGUUCACUUCUGGUGGAACGUUUAUGUCCAUGAGAAGCAGUGGCUUUGAAGAGUUUUGGCAGACUAUGGCGCCUUACUCAACAUUGGGAAGGUAUCUUGCCAUCAGACCUUUUGGGUCUCCAUGAAACUUCUUAUACCCCCUCUGGGAAAAGUCACUAACUGUGAUCUUACUGAGCUUCUAAACACAGCAUUUUUUUUACACUUAAGUGAGCGGGGGUCCUCCUCAUUUGUGCUUCUCUUCUUGUAAGGGUGACUUCCUCCCAGUAGGAUGAAUCUCAUGCCUAUUUGUGUUAUUUUGCUAAUUCCAGCUUCUUUUCUACUCAGGGGGGUUCCAACUCUUUUAAGGUCUCAUCUUCAGCACUUCUAAACUGUGGGAAACUAUGUGAAAACAAAUGGAGUGGCCAAACACACCAUUCAUCACUGUGCUUCUGGACAGCUGCAAGUCCAUACGUGUUCUGAUAAUUCAAUACAAGAAAGAAGAUUUGCUUGGGAAGGUCUGAAUGGCCCUAGCUUUGUUUGUUAACCAUAACCUCUACCAGCUGGAAACACAAUGCCCCACUAAUACUAACAGUGCCUGCUUGUCCAAACAGCAUUCUGGCCACUUACAGCAAUUGACACAAAUUCUAACAGGUCUGUUAAUGUUUUUCAGAUCCUAAACUUGUAGUAGAUUUUUAUGUUCUCUGCAAUCAGUUUUGCUUCAGCGGCCCUGCAGGUGUUUAUGCGUGCUGGCAUGCUAAAUCUCACCAUUCAAAAUAGUUUAUUUUUUACAACAAAAUCUGAAGAAUAAUUUCUUCAUUUUGUCAAAAAAUACCCCAUUCCUAUUAUUUUUCUCUUCUUUAUCUUCACAGGUAGAUGGGGCAAAGCAUUACCUUGUGUAAAACUGCUGCUAAAAUAUAUUCCUAGUGAGAAAGGUCAACUUGUGGGCUAAAGUCCUUGUCACCUCCUGAUCAGUUUUCACUUAGGGCACAGCAGUCUGCCAUUCACCAUUGGGAUCUCUGUGUGUUUCUUCUCUCUUAUGAAAGGACAUAUUGAGCGCUCUAGGACUUGGCUGCCUACAUCAAGUAGAGGGGGACCCUCAUGAUUCACUAAGGGGCCUCAGUUCUGAAUAUUUCUCAUUAUUCAAAAAUGCAAAGCCAUUGUCAUUACGUGGCAGUUUAUUGGAACCAAGGGAGGAAUUGGUCCCUUUUCAUGUUCUUCUCCUAAAUAGAGAAAAGGUAAUUAAAACUUGGAGCUUAAUAAGGGCCAUCUCUAUUUGAACAGCCUAAUACAAAUCCAUUCUCAAUACCUUUUUACACCUUGUCUGAACUGACUUCUACUGUGUACUCCACUGCAUGGGAAUUCUGGAACUUUAGAACGAAGGGAACUCAAUUCAUUCUAUAUAUAUCUCAUUCAUUCAUUUUUUUUUCAUUUGUUCACCAAAUGCUAACUCAAUACCUACGUAACAGAGAUAAUGUUCUUAUUGUCUGUAAAUCAGAAAAUGCAUGCAUUGAAUAAACGCCAUAUAUUCUUGGAAGCUGAGGGCUGAUAACUCAAGGUAAAUGAUCAGCUAGUCUCCUAUGAAAUAAGUAUCUUAUUUCAUGUUACAUGUAGAAAUGACCAUGCAACUUUAUCUUAAAGCCAGGCCUUAUUGAGAAAAAGGGGAUCCAAAUUCCAAAUGUUUCCUUACAUGCUGAGAGGAAACCUUGGAGGUCUGAGCGUGAGUCAUAGGUAGAGGGAAAUCAUGCUAAGAUAUAUAUUGUUUCCACCAGACAGGUAGAGGAAGCAGAGACCCUUUGGCAGAAGAGAUACAGAGAAGAGAGGAGGAGAGGUUCUGGCUUUACCGUUCAGGCUUGAAACCCCAAGUUUAGAUGGAUUGAGGGGGAAGCUUAAGGCAAACAUGACCCCUGGGCCAACACAGGCUAGAGGAACAAUGUAGAAAUGACCAUGUAACUUUAUAGGCAUGAAGAAGAUGCCUGUGAUGGCACUGAGUCUCCUGUGGCUCCCUUGUGUGCCCAAAUGCCUGAAGGAUGUGAGAGUAUUGGUUGUUAGAAUUUCAGGGAAUUCCACCAAGUGGGGAAUGACUCUGUAUUAAGGGCUGCAAAGAAAAGCUCCCAGGCCAAGCAUUGAGUGGGAGGUGCUACCUGCCCUCAGGGAUCCACAGGGACUUCAACAGCUGAUGUGGGGUCUCAUCAGCCUCAAGGUGGCCAAGUUUCUAUGCUGAGACUAUAGCCCACAGUUACACCAGCCAUGAUCCUCAGCAGCAGAGGUAGUGAUGAUGAAGUCUGAUGCCCAAAGACAAGCAGAACAAUAUGCACAGUUCCAGCCAAUGCCACGAGGUAGCCUUUGUACUUCCCUAUACCUAGCUGGGAGGGAGGAAGGAAGGAGAGAGGAGACUCCUAGGAAGAGGAGAAAAUAAUUAUCCCAAAGAGACUGACAUAACCUGGAAAAGACCGAGAACUACUAAUUAGCAAGAUAAAGUUCAUUUACCUCUUCCUGUUUCUUACCAAGAUGGUAUGUAUCCUUUCAGAUAAUAAAUAAAUUUAUGUUUUCUUGCCCUAUUUUAAUGUGAUUUAAAUGUUUCUUGUUUUUUCUGUUUUCAUUCAUAACAAAAAUUUUGUUCUCAGAGACACUGAGACAUGAGACACGAUGCUGGACUAUAUUGGGGGGGAGCACCUCAUCAUAUGGGCAAGAUAUUGCAGCAGCAUGUAGCCCUCCACGUCCUGACUGCUCACUUCUCUUUCGCCAUCCCCUAACACACGUAUUAGGCUUUUGCUAUGUUCAUUUAUCUAGCCCAUAAGCCACUCCUUCAGAGGGCAAUGCAUGGAAUUGGCAGCCUUGGUUCCCCACCAACUGACAGGGGUCUGGAAUUCAGGUGUUUCCAAAGACCUGCAGUCUUGGGGGCCUUAAUGCUUGCUGAGUAGCAGCACUUUCUAGGACUUUCCCUAUUGUACGUUUCAGUCCAUGCUUUUCUUUUUGUCUUGUCUCAGUGUUCUUCCCUGCUAGUCUGGUUCUCAACAAGACCCAAGCCCUGCAACACACCCAAAUCCCCUUGAUGGGAACCUGAUUUCCUACGUGGCUUUUCCCAGUCACCCCAUGCUCUCCCCACUCCCAUCUUUCCUGGUGAAUUGCUCCUUUCCUAAAUCUGUUGUGAAUAACAAUUUGGCCACAGUGCUAAAGCCUCUCACUCCUCACUUUAAAUUCCUUUGGGAAACAGUCAUUCAUGUUCAUUUUAGACAAUUUCCCUGUCCUGUGCGGACUCUUCUCAAGAAGUCUACUCCCAAAACUCCUGCUGAGGUAGGUCCAGGUCA